rnacentral:rRNA from 1 species
AGAGUUUGAUCCUGGCUCAGAUUGAACGCUGGCGGAAUGCUUUACACAUGCAAGUCGAACGGCAGCACGGGGCAACCUGGUGGCGAGUGGCGAACGGGUGAGUAAUACAUCGGAACGUGCCCAAUCGUGGGGGAUAACGUAGUGAAAGUUACGCUAAUACCGCAUACGAUCUACGGAUGAAAGCGGGGGAUCGCAAGACCUCGCGCGAGUGGAGCGGCCGAUGUCAGAUUAGGUAGUUGGUGGGGUAAAGGCUCACCAAGCCAACGAUCUGUAGCUGGUCUGAGAGGACGACCAGCCACACUGGAACUGAGACACGGUCCAGACUCCUACGGGAGGCAGCAGUGGGGAAUUUUGGACAAUGGGCGCAAGCCUGAUCCAGCCAUUCCGCGUGCAGGAUGAAGGCCUUCGGGUUGUAAACUGCUUUUGUACGGAACGAAACGGCGAGCUCUAAUACAGUUUGCUAAUGACGGUACCGUAAGAAUAAGCACCGGCUAACUACGUG